AUUCAAGGUUCAACUUUUUUCAAUGUCAGUUUACAGUUUGAUGUGAAUGAUUAUUGUAUUGUGUGAUUAUUUGUUUUACUAGUUAUUUAUUUAAAAUGGGAAAGAAAUAACUAGUACAUUUUUUUCUCUAUUUGACACGACUAGUUUGUCGUGCUAUUAUCGAGUGUCAAAAAAUUAUAUUGUCUUUGAAUGAAUAAUUGAAUGGUGUUCAAUAGAUACAAUUUUUGAUAACGUAGAAUAAUACAAUUUGGUAGAAUACCAUCCAGUUCUAUCAGGUGCCGAUGUGAUGUUGGGCGUUGAAAUGGCUUCAACAGGAGAGGUGGCUUGCUUUGGAGAGAAUCGCUACGAGGCCUACUUGAAAGCAAUGCUUAGUACAGGAUUCCACAUCCCCCAGAAGGCCAUACUGCUUUCAAUCGGCAGUUUCAAGAUCAGUAAUUGUAUAAUUCGUUCAUAAAAAAUGAAUAAACAUUAUUUCUCAACUCA